GACGAACGCUGGCGGCGUGCUUAACACGUGCAAGUCGAACGGAAAGGCCCUGCUUUUGUGGGGUGCUCGAGUGGCGAACGGGUGAGUAACACGUGAGUAACCUGCCCUUGACUUUGGGAUAACUUCAGGAAACUGGGGCUAAUACCGGAUAGGAGCUCCUGCUGCAUGGUGGGGGUUGGAAAGUUUCGGCGGUUGGGGAUGGACUCGCGGCUUAUCAGCUUGUUGGUGGGGUAGUGGCUUACCAAGGCUUUGACGGGUAGCCGGCCUGAGAGGGUGACCGGCCACAGUGGGACUGAGAUACGGCCCAGACUCCUACGGGAGGCAGCAGUGGGGAAUAUUGCACAAUGGGCGGAAGCCUGAUGCAGCAACGCCGCGUGCGGGAUGACGGCCUUCGGGUUGUAAACCGCUUUCGCCUGUGACGAAGCGUGAGUGACGGUAAUGGGUAAAGAAGCACCGGCUAACUACGUG
rnacentral:rRNA from 1 species